rnacentral:rRNA from 1 species
GGGGAAUAUUGCACAAUGGGCGCAAGCCUGAUGCAGCCAUGCCGCGUGUGUGAAGAAGGCCUUAGGGUUGUAAAGCACUUUCAGUCGUGAGGAAAGGUGUGUGCUUAAUACGUACAUACUGUGACGUUAGCGACAGAAGAAGGACCGGCUAACUCCGUG